AAAAACCGGUUUCGUAGGUACAACCGGUUUCUAUUUAAAAAAAGUGCGCUAAUAGAAACCGGUUUUUCAUUACCAGUUUCUUUAUUGCGGUGUCGUAGUUACAUUAUGACACCGGUUUUAAUUAAACAUAUUAAACCGUUUUUAAACCGGUUUUAAAGGCUUAUUCAGAAUUUAAAAAAAAAAUGAAAAGAGAAGAAAUCAGAUCGUUCAAACAAAUUAGCCCUAGCUAAUUAACCCCUUAGCGCCGCGCCUACCUUCUUCUUCCCAAAUCUUCUUCUUCCCAAAUCUGCCGCCUACGAUCUCUCCGGCGCUGACUCACCCCGACCAACGCCACUCGUUCCUUGCGCCGCCGCCGUCGUAUCAACAGUCAACGCAGCCACGAACCACGUCCUCUGUCGCCUCUCUCCAAUCAUAAAAUUGAAGGUUUCCUCGCCGCCGCCGCCGCCACAAUCUCCGCCGGUCAGCAAGCAACGGAAAACGAAGGUUUCCUCGCCGCCGCCGCCGCCACAAUCUUCGCCGCUGCUUUGAGCUGCUGCUGUACUCCAGAAACGACGCUGCUGUCAAGUUUUCUCCGGUCGCCGCCACGCUGCUCUGGUUUACCUUGCUGUACGGCAGCACGUGCAUUGCUCUUCCGGUCUGUUCUCGACUUAGCCGCUGCUCCUUGAGCGCCACACUUCGCCGCUGCUUUGAGCUGCUGCUGUACUCCAGAAACGACGCUGCUGUCAAGCUUUCUCCGGUCGCCGCCACGCUGCUCUGGUUUACCUUGCUGUACGGCAGCACGUGCAUUGCUCUUCCGGUCUGUUCUCGACUUAGCCGCUGCUCCUUGAGUUCAAUAGCAAUAGUUAUUCUAGUGUGGAGAUUGAUGAAGUGCGGAGGGAGUGGGCUGAUUGUGUUUUGCAGGUAAUAUGAUCAAAGCUAACUUGGAUGCAAAGAGGAAAGAAGACCAUAUUUAGUUUUUGAAAAAUUGAGGCUUCAAGAACAUUUGAUUUUGAGAGUUGAUAUUAGAUUUUGUCUUCCUAGAAACUUGAUAUUAGACUUUCUAUUGUUAUAUUGAUAGUUGAAACUUGGUGCGAGACAUUGGAGAUGAUUGUAACGUACAUUGGUGCUAAUUGAUUGUGUAAUUCGAUA